rfam:Sorghum bicolor cultivar BTx623 chromosome 2, whole genome shotgun sequence.
GUAGUCAGUUUCGCAUCAAUCCACAUAUAUUGAGGUGGAUUGGAGUGGAACUUGAACUAAAUUCCACCCGAUCCACUCCAACACAUGUGGAUCGAGGUGAAUCCGACA